rnacentral:other from 1 species
UAAUUCCUGCCCUGUGCGCGGUUGUGGCUUUUAUAACCCUACAACAAUAUUAUAGGGAGCCCGGGCUCCUGCGGCGGAUUGCAGACCUCCCGCUGCGGCGGACGAAGGGAGCGUGAACCCGUGGGGAGGGCACCCACCUGCCAUUUGCAGGUUAUCAUUAGCUGCCAACGGCAGGGCGGGAAAUGA